rnacentral:lncRNA from 1 species
GCAGGAGGAAUCAGCAAGGCAGCUCAGAUUUCGUGAUGUGUGAUAGCAAUUGGCUGGAGCUGGCAUGUAUGCUAGUCGGUUUGGGGAGCAAGAUCCACUCUGCAAGCAUCUUUUGCUUGUUGUUUAGCAGGCACAUCUCAUGUGAGUGACUAUCAUGUCCAUCUUGAUUCUGGCUGCUGCACAACAAAUACAACCAUAUUUUUUUUCUGAUAAUAUUUAUUUGAAUUUGGAAUAGCAAACAAAAAUGUGUUAUCUAGCAUACUCACGCAUUGCAUGCAUAAGCAGUGAUGUGGACACUUUUUUCUCACUUGAAUUUUUUUUGUGUACAUUUAUAUCUCAUAAAUACAUAAAAAGGGCUUGUGACAACAGUGAUCAUGAAAGGAAAUAUGAGCGAGCUGUUUCUUUGGCAGUUUAUGCUUCUAGUGAGGAAUGCUUGCUUCAUUUCUGCAGGCUCCGAAGCUCCUUGCAUCGUUGUCAUGUUCCCUACUGUGUUUACAACAUUUAGAAUCUGGGUUUCAUAAUCCCGAGACUGACUCAUAUGCUGUUCAAUUUUGUAAUGUAUUAUGCCUAACCGAAUCACAUUGCCAUGUUGUAAAUACCGGCAGCAAGAAUAAGCAUGGAGCUUACUGUAUGUGCUCUACAUGUUAUUGCAUCUGAUUUUGAAUUAUUAUCAACUGCAGGCUUAAGCCUCAUGGCUGGAGCUGACAUGCUAUCACUUAGAGAGAGAGCAUGAUCCACUUUACAAGGAUCUUCUGUCUGCUGUUGAGCAACAUUUCAUUUGCUUAGCUGUGACUGAACCGUUACCAUUUUUUUUCAUAA